rnacentral:lncRNA from 1 species
GGCUGGUGCAGGUGCUGGGGGGUCGGGGGGGGACCCUGGGGGGGUCUGUGGGGGGAGCGGGAGCAGCGAGGGGUGCUGUGGGGUCCCCAAAGGCUGUGUCUCCUCCGCAGGGCCCCGGCGUUGGCCAUGGUCACCCUCCUGGUCCUGGCCACCGUGGUGGCCGAUGAGCCCACGAGCACCCUGGACGUGGCCCUUUCUGCAGAAGGACAGACGCCAGAGCCCGUCAGCCCGGCCAAGCUGGAGGCCUCCGGAGAGAGCCUGACCCCCCUGGCCUUGGAGGGUGCGGAGCGUUCUCCCGCCGAGGACUCGAGGGGGGAGUCCCUGGGCAGCGACUCCUCCAGCCUCGACCCCCUCAACAGCGGCUCCUUCAGCGCCGACGCCAGCGCCGGGGAGGCCCGAGGAGGUGGGUGCCCCCCCCGACCUCCCCAC